UGCCAGGAGAAGAUCACCAGGGAUGCCAUUCCCUCUGAUGGACGGUACCUACACCACGAGGCUCUGGAGAACGUUCUGGUGGUAGAGGCUGGGGGACAGGUGCAACGAGGCCUGCCUGGAGCAGCAGGGAGAGAGUUUUGCUCCACCCUCUGGGCUGUGGUUUGGAGGCCUCUUUGAUCGGGCAGAGGCAGAGGAAGAGGUGAAGUUGCAAGCAUCAGGUCCCUCCGGCUGGCAGGUGCCUGCACACCCCGUGAAGGGAGAGCGUGACAUGGCCCUGAUUGUGCUGGCAGCCCUGGCGGGACUGGCAGCCUUUGGUCAUGCCCAAAAGGACUCUGUGCUCCAGUUCCCUGCAGAAAUGACCAUCCAGACGGGACACAGCACAGCUCUGCGCUGCAAUUUCUCCACCAGUUUUACCAAUCCCUACAUCUUCUGGUACCAGCAGCGCCAGACGCAGUCCCCUCAGAUGCUGCUGCAGGGAGUGUACAAAUGGAAACCGCAGGUGGAUUCAGGGAGGUUCUCGUCUUCACUGUCUGUGGAGACCUCCCAGGUGGUUCUGCAUGUGCGGGAUGCUGAGCUCCAGGACAGCGCUGCCUAUUUCUGUGCACUGAGCCCACAGUGGUGCCCACAGCACGCAGCAGCGCAUAGAAACAUGGGCGGUGCUGUGAGGGGCACAUCCCUCCCUGCCACUGCUUGCCUGGAGCUCUGAGCUCAGCCUACUCAGCAGCAGCACCUGGGGGCUGUGGUGAGGCUGGGCCUCUGCCUCCCCAGCCUGUACUGCUGUGAGGCACAGGCCUGUGUGACUUGUG